GUCGAGCGGUAGCACAGGGAGCUUGCUCCUGGGUGACGAGCGGCGGACGGGUGAGUAAUGUCUGGGAAACUGCCUGAUGGAGGGGGAUAACUACUGGAAACGGUAGCUAAUACCGCAUAACGUCUACGGACCAAAGUGGGGGACCUUCGGGCCUCAUGCCAUCAGAUGUGCCCAGAUGGGAUUAGCUAGUAGGUGGGGUAAUGGCUCACCUAGGCGACGAUCCCUAGCUGGUCUGAGAGGAUGACCAGCCACACUGGAACUGAGACACGGUCCAGACUCCUACGGGAGGCAGCAGUGGGGAAUAUUGCACAAUGGGCGCAAGCCUGAUGCAGCCAUGCCGCGUGUGUGAAGAAGGCCUUCGGGUUGUAAAGCACUUUCAGCGAGGAGGAAGGGUUCAGUGUUAAUAGCACUGUNCAUUGACGUUACUCGCAGAAGAAGCACCGGCUAACUCCGUGCCAGCAGCCGCGGUAAUACGGAGGGUGCAAGCGUUAAUCGGAAUUACUGGGCGUAAAGCGCACGCAGGCGGUUUGUUAAGUCAGAUGUGAAAUCCCCGCGCUUAACGUGGGAACUGCAUUUGAAACUGGCAAGCUAGAGUCUUGUAGAGGGGGGUAGA
rnacentral:rRNA from 1 species